rnacentral:rRNA from 1 species
GUGUCAGCCGCCGCGGUAAUACGUAGGAGGCAAGCGUUAUCCGGAUUUAUUGGGCGUACAGAGAGUGUAGGCGGCUCGUCAAGUCGAAUGUAAAAUCUUCCGGCUUAACUGGAAGGGAUCAUUCGAUACUGACGGGCUGGAGUGCAGUAGAGGAAAGCGGAAUUCCCGGUGUAGUGGUGAAAUGCGUAGAUAUCGGGAGGAACACCAGUGGCGAAGGCGGCUUUCUAGGCUGCUACUGACGCUGAUGCUCGAAAGCGUGGGGAGCAAACAGGAUUAGAUACCCUGGUAGUCCACGCUGUAAACUAUGGACACUAGGUAUGGGGAGUAUCGACCCUUCCCGUGCCGAAGUUAACGCAUUAAGUGUCCCGCCUGGGGAGUACGGUCGCAAGACUAAAACUCAAAUGAAUUGGCGGGG